rnacentral:lncRNA from 1 species
CGGAGAAUGAUUGCUACAGCAACAGCACGUCCAGCUGCAAAUACUCCAUGUACCAUUUUUGACUGGCACUCACAAAUCUGCUGCUCUGUACUUCCUCUCUUCUCCUACAUCUGCAAUGUCACAGAAUAAUCUCUAAAGAGAAGCAGGAGGUAAGCCAAUAACCAAGGAGCUCUGUUUUAAUAAUUCCUGCAGUAUCAUCCUUGUGUAUGCCUUCAGGUCUCCCUUAAGCAUGGAUAUCACCCUUGUCCAA